ensembl:lincRNA
ACUACUCCUGUAUUACCAUGGCUGCUGACAAUGGUUCCCUGUAUGUUCCCCUCGACAGAUACAACGACAUAUUCCACCCAGCGAUCUGAGCACUUCAAGCCCUGCCGAGACAAGGACCUUGCCUACUGUCUCAACGAUGGCGAGUGCUUUGUGAUAGAAACCUUGACAGGAUCCCAUAAGCACUGCCGAGUAAAAGACAAAUAGCAGCUGCUCCUGAAAGAGGAGCAGGAAAGGCUGAGGAAGACCUCCUGCUGCCAGCUCUCAAGGAAGCUACUGCUAUCCUCACCCCGAAGAAGCAAAAGUGUCUUGGAGCACUAGUGGAUAUAGAAAGACAAGCCCAGUUCUGACUGUCAGUCAGCACUUCAGUCUGUCUGCAGCAUCCUUCUGGGUAAUGGCCAUGGUCUACGCCACAGGCAGUCUGCCCCGGGGGAGCUGACACCAGAGACCUAAGCUGGUCUUGCUCGGUGACUUGGGCGGCUCUUAGACACCAGCACCCAGAGAACCAACAGAGAUGGAAAAGCCAAGGCCAGACCCUACAGCAGCCAGCCACCCUGUGAAGAUCUGAACAAAGAGACAAACAGAAUGUGAGGCCUAUCAGAGGCAGUAAAGGGAAAAUGGUUUUAGGAAGAGGGGAGAUAACUAAACAAGCCAGGACUUGAUUCCGUACCUUUUAUAAGAUUGACAUGGCCUUGCCACAUGUAUUUGCCACUUUCCUAUCACUGGGACAAAAUACCUGCAUCAUGCAACUCAAAGGAAAGGUUUCUCUUUGUUCAUGUUUUCAGAGGCUUUGGUCCAUAUUCUACGGUUCCAAGGCAGGAAUAACAUGAUACAAGGUAUCCUGGUGGAGGAAAGAUCCUCUCCCCAUGGCAGCCGG